rnacentral:sRNA from 1 species
CCCGCCUGGGCCCUACCGCCGCACGGCCCCGGCCCCCUCCCAGCCUGCCGCUCCGGAGAGCCGCCCGCCGAGGAUGCGACGCACCGCAGUGUUCUAAGAACGGAAGCAUCUGGGCUGGAUGGAAUUUAGCAUCAAGCAGAGUCCCCUUUCUGUUCAGAGUGUUGUAAAGUGCAUAAAGAUGAAGCAGGCACCAGAAAUCCUUGGCAGUGCCAACGGGAAGACUCCGAGCUGCGAGGUGAACCGCGAGUGUUCUGUGUUCCUCAGCAAAGCCCAGCUCUCCAGUAGCCUGCAGGAGGGGGUCAUGCAGAAGUUUAACGGCCACGACGCCCUGCCCUUUAUUCCAGCCGACAAGCUGAAAGAUCUUACUUCCCGGGUGUUUAAUGGAGAACCCGGCGCACACGAUGCCAAACUGCGUUUUGAGUCCCAGGAAAUGAAAGGGAUUGGGACACCCCCUAACACUACCCCUAUCAAAAAUGGCUCUCCAGAAAUUAAGCUGAAAAUCACCAAAACAUACAUGAAUGGGAAGCCUCUUUUUGAAUCUUCCAUUUGUGGUGACAGUGCUGCUGAUGUGUCUCAGUCAGAAGAAAAUGGACAAAAACCAGAAAACAAGGCGAGAAGGAACAGGAAGAGGAGCAUAAAAUAUGACUCCUUGCUGGAGCAGGGCCUUGUCGAAGCAGCUCUUGUGUCUAAGAUCUCAAGUCCUUCAGAUAAAAAGAUUCCAGCUAAGAAAGAGUCUUGUCCAAACACUGGAAGAGACAAAGACCACCUGUUGAAAUACAACGUUGGUGAUUUGGUGUGGUCCAAAGUGUCGGGUUACCCUUGGUGGCCUUGCAUGGUUUCUGCAGAUCCACUCCUUCACAGCUAUACCAAACUUAAAGGUCAGAAAAAGAGUGCACGCCAGUAUCACGUACAGUUCUUUGGUGACGCCCCAGAAAGAGCUUGGAUAUUUGAGAAGAGCCUCGUAGCUUUUGAAGGAGAAGGACAGUUUGAAAAAUUAUGCCAGGAAAGUGCCAAGCAGGCACCCACGAAAGCUGAGAAAAUUAAGCUAUUGAAACCAAUUUCAGGGAAAUUGAGGGCCCAGUGGGAAAUGGGCAUUGUUCAAGCAGAAGAAGCUGCAAGCAUGUCAGUGGAGGAGCGGAAAGCCAAGUUCACCUUUCUCUAUGUGGGGGACCAGCUUCAUCUCAACCCUCAAGUAGCCAAGGAGGCUGGCAUUGCUGCAGAGUCUUUGGGAGAAAUGGCAGAAUCCUCAGGAGUCGGUGAAGAAGCUGCUGAAAACCCCAAGUCUGUGAGAGAAGAGUGCAUUCCCAUGAAGAGAAGGCGGAGGGCCAAACUGUGUAGCUCUGCAGAGACCCUGGAGAGUCACCCCGACAUAGGGAAGAGUACUCCUCAAAAGACGGCAGAGGCUGACCCCAGAAGAGGAGUAGGGUCUCCUCCUGGGAGGAAGAAGACCACAGUCUCCAUGCCACGAAGCAGGAAGGGAGAUGCAGCAUCCCAGUUUUUGGUCUUCUGUCAAAAACACAGGGAUGAGGUCAGUACUAAGUUGUGUUUCAUGCUAGCAAGUUUCAGAAUUUGAGGAACAUCCCUUCAGUGCAGAAUCAUCUGUUUCUCAGCAUUAUCAGGCGACUCUAACAUGAGCCUUGCAUAGAUUUUAGAUCUAAUAAAUAAGUAUUAUUAGGGAACAGCCAUUCUGACCCUUGAGGGAAAAGAUACUCGACUUGCACUCUGGGUUCUUAAAAUAUCCUUCCUAAUGUGGAUAAGAAGAUACCGAGAACAGGCCAGGCACAGUGGCUCAUGCCUGUAAUUUCAGUACUUUGGGAGGCCAAGGUGGGAGGAUUGCUUCAGCUCAGGAGUUUGAGACCAGCCUGGGCAACAUGGUGAAACCCCAUCUCUACAAAAAUUAGCCGGGUGUGGUGGCACAUGCCUGUAGUCCCAGCUGCUUGGGAGACUGAGACAGGAGGAUCCCUUGAGUCCUGAAGGUGGGGUUUGUAGUGAGUCGUGAUGGCAUCACUGCACCGUAGCCUGGGUGACAGCAGAGCGAGACUGUGUCUCAAAAAAAAAAAAAA